GUGAUAUAUUUUGUGUGAAAAACUGGAAAAGAAAGUGCAUCACUGCAUAACCUCACUUAUCGCAGUUUUGCACUUUUUGAUGAUGGGAAUUGCGGUUCAAGUAAUUAUGAGUUAUAGAUGGAGAGCCCUGUUUACUUCAAACUGAAGCCUUUUGGGUCCACUUUGUUCGUUAUUUCCUGGCAGCCACUCUUGUUUCAAGCAGAGUGGGUGUAAAGUUAAAAAUAAUCCCGUAAAAUUGUUAAUAUAACUCCUUUGCACUGGCAUGGGGUAUUUGAAAACUUACGUUUAACAAAUACGUCACAAAGUCUCAGCCAUCGUUGAAAAACAUAAUAAGGGCUUUAUAACAAGAAGCGCUUUCUGAUUUUACUGUGGACGUGUGGAAGAAUAGUGUGAAAUAUUGCGAAAAACCAACUUUUACUCUUGUUUACAUUUUUGUACGUCUCUAUCUGAGAGUAGUCUCUUGUAUAAAAAAUAUAGCCUACUAAUAAAGGAAAUUAAAGUGUUUUUAUUUCUGGGUUGCCCCCAAUUCCACUUCGCCCUUGCCUGAUAAUCAAGACACUGAUAAUGAAAUUGGUGUUAGUGCAUCGAAUACAAACGUGUUGAAUAGAUGAAUAAAAGAGAGACAACUGCUUUUUUCAAAAAGGCCAUUUCAAAUUUAUUCAAAAAGCACACCCCCAUUGAAAAGGGUCCAUUCACGAUGAAGUUUGGCUUCCUGCAUGACGUAGGUCUCGGACACCAAUCUCACUGUAAAUGGUCUAAAUUGGUCUUGCAUCUCUAAGACAUGGACUCACUGAGAGCGACUUCUGCAGUAGGCUUGAGACCUGCCUGCCUGUCUCGCAACAAUCUCUGCAUUAUGAUUCCAAAUCAUUCUAUAAAACGCUGUCAAUUACAAGCCAUGAUAUGAGGCAUGAGGCCGUCUCAGUGUAUGUCUUGUGGUGUACAUUGAAACUGUUUCUUAAAGAACCCAUUCACAAUGAGAUCUGCUUCGCUACAUGCGGCGCGACAGGACUCAAAGACUAAUCCUCAAAGACACAAAAAAACUGACACAGUUUAUCAUUUUAAGCCAUUGACAGCGUUUUCGAAUGUUGGUGCAAAGACUUGUCGCGAGGCAGGUUUCAGUCUUCCGCCAACGUCAGUCUGAGUGAAACCCUCUCAAAGUGAUCUCAGCGAAAACCAUUCACAAUGAGAUUGACCUAUGAGGCCUAUGUCGUGCCGCAUGCAGCGAGAUAUGUCUCAUUGUUAAUGAAAAUAGGGCCUUUUUUGUUGUUUAAAGUCGUUUUUUAAAACUUUUGUGGCAAAUUUUACUGAUGUGGCAGAGAGGGGGCAUGCAAUUGGAACAUGACGAUGACUACCCUAAAAGGCACUUCGAGGCUUUUAUGGCCUUUUUAAUGCAAAUUUCAACUUUAAACCUGACAGUCAUACCAAGGUCAAACAUAACCUCAACAGUAAUCCAGCAACGGUACUUCAAAGCAUUUGAAAGUUUCUCCAUUUGUUUUUAAGUGUUCUAGUUGGUACAUUUUGCUGUACUUUACUACAAUAAAGAAAUAUUUAAAUUUUUAUUAUUGUUUACAUUUGUCAUCUGUCAAACACAUCAAACAACCAAGUUCCCUAAAUUUGAGCUCUUAUCUAGUUUUUGUGCUCUAUAUAGUCUCGCGUCAACGUAUGCCCUAUGACGUAUCUCAUAUUGAAAUGUCCCGGACUAUAUAUUCGUGAAUGUUACUAUGUGAUUUAAAAUUCUCUAUGUUAGAUUUUAUAUAAUUUAAACACUGAUAAAUAUACAUACAAGGAACAACCUCCUACUAUACGGAUAGAUCGACGUUGUAAUCUGAAAAUUGUAGAAAUGGAAGCAGAAUGACCCCAUACUAAUAGUCCAUAACUGAUGUGACACUGGCAUAAUGAAUAAAAUGCAGUUUUUAGAGUUUCAGGAGGAACUUGAUCUUUUAAAUUGCGAAGUGCAAAAAUACCACUACAAAGUAAUUUUGCAACCUUUUCUAAAUGUGUAUUAA